rnacentral:lncRNA from 1 species
GCAUCUAGGGCACACAUCUAACAAUCAAUAGGCUGGAUGACUAGACCCAUUUAAUCUUACCAACCAAGCAUCAGUCGAUCCUCUUUAUCGAUUUUCAUAAUUGUUGUCAAUACAUCAGCCACAUUAGGCUAUCGACCCCAGCCUAAGUCUCAUCGAACCUCCUCGACUACCAUCCUCUUUCAGAGUUUUAUCUAAUCUUUUUUGACUACCUCAUUGAACGCCCUCGGUUAUCAUCCUCUUCUAGAGUCUCAUCGAGUCCUCUUCGGCUACCAACCUCUCUGGGUCUCAUCAAAUGUGUGUUGGAACCUUGCACAAUAAUUCCUCUCUCC